rnacentral:lncRNA from 1 species
CAUGUCAUCACUUCAUUUUUUUGCGCCUGCGCAUAAAUCUGAGAAACGUGAGUUUGUCAUAAUUUUUUAUCUAGACAUAGGAUAGGUUGUGUGAAAAUAUUACUGAUGUUUAACGUUAAAAAUGGACCAAAAGAUUAAUGCUAAACAACAUUUGACAUGUUUGAACGAACAUAAAUAGAUUAUUUACUAGGUUUUUUUAUCUUUUCGGCGUGAUUUUACCAGCCCCCACCACGUUUUGUGGGAGCAUAAUGAACGCUAAGUACUUGGUGUUAUUUGGACAUAAAUUAUGAACUUUGUCAAAAGAAACCACAUUUGUUCCGGACCUGGAAUGCCUUCCGGACCUGGGAUCCUGCCCUCUGAUGGAGAUAAUCAAAGGACCUGAGCCCUAGGACCAUGCCUCAGGACUACCUGGUAUGAUGACUCCUUGCUGUCCCCAGUCCACCUGGCCGUGCUGCUGCUCCAGCUUCAACUGUUCUGCCUGCGGCUAUGGAACCCUGACCUGUUCACCGGACGUGCUUGUUGCACCCUCGACAACUACUAUGAUUAUUAUUACUUGACCAUGCUGGUCAUUUAUGAACAUUUUAACAUCUUGACCAUGUUCUGUUAUAAUAUCCACCCUGCACAGCCAGAAGAGGACUGGCCACCCCUCAUAGC